rnacentral:rRNA from 1 species
GGAUUUUCUUAGUAGCGGCGAGCGAAAAGAAAAAAGUUCAGCACUAAGUUAUUUUGUUAUUUUUUAACAAAUAUAAGAUGCAGUGUAUAGAAUAUCUAUUAUCUAGUAUAUUAAAUUAAUAGUUCAAGUCCUUCUUAAAUGGGGCCAUUUACCCAUAGAGGGUGAUAGGCCCGUAGAAACAUUAUUAAAUACUAGAAGAUAUUUCUUAAGAGUCGUGUUGCUUGAUAGUGCAGCACUAAUUUGGUGGUAAACUCCAUCUAAAACUAAAUAUAACC